ACAGCAGUGCAGUGUGGGUAGUUAGCUCGUCGGGCUAACCCCGGUUAGCAAACCGCGGCAGAAGUGUGUCUCUUUACUUUACGUGACGUGCAUCAUGGUGUAAAAUAUGAUGAACCAAAAUAAUAACAAGGAGGCGCAGACGGCGAAGAAGGAGAGAACCGACAGGAACCUGUAAGCGCCGCUUCUUUUCAUGUCGGAGCGACCAGACGUGAACCAGGAUGUGAAGUUGCAGUUGACUCCUCUUUGUGGUGCAUGAUCAAAUCAAGUUGCAAACUUCAAAAAGAUACAAUGGAAUCACUUUUAUAGGCAUCCUAUUCACACACAUCCAUGAAAGGAUUGCUCAAGCGAACUUUGACAU